UACGUAGGGUGCGAGCGUUAAUCGGAAUUACUGGCGUAAAGCGUGCGCAGGCGGUUUUGUAAGCCAGAUGUGAAAUCCCCGGGCUUAACCUGGGAAUGGCAUUUGGGACUGCAAGGCUCGAGUGCGGCAGAGGAGACUGGAAUUCCUGGUGUAGCAGUGAAAUGCGUAGAUAUCAGGAGGAACACCGAUGGCGAAGGCAGGUCUCUGGGCUGACACUGACGCUCAUGCACGAAAGCGUGGGGAGCAAACAGG
rnacentral:rRNA from 1 species